rnacentral:rRNA from 1 species
UACGUAGGGUGCGAGCGUUGUCCGGAAUUACUGGGCGUAAAGAGCUCGUAGGUGGUUUGUCGCGUUGUUCGUGAAAACCGGGGGCUUAACCCUCGGCGUGCGGGCGAUACGGGCAGACUUGAGUACUGCAGGGGAGACUGGAAUUCCUGGUGUAGCGGUGGAAUGCGCAGAUAUCAGGAGGAACACCCGUGGCGAAAGCGGGUCUCUGGGCAGUAACUGACGCUGAGGAGCGAAAGCGUGGGGAGCGAACAGG